rnacentral:rRNA from 1 species
GACGAACGCUGGCGGCGCGCCUAACACAUGCAAGUCGAACGAGCGAGAGAGAGCUUGCUUUCUCGAGCGAGUGGCGAACGGGUGAGUAACGCGUGAGGAACCUGCCUCAAAGAGGGGGACAACAGUUGGAAACGACUGCUAAUACCGCAUAAGCCCACGGCUCGGCAUCGAGCAGAGGGAAAAGGAGCAAUCCGCUUUGAGAUGGCCUCGCGUCCGAUUAGCUAGUUGGUGAGGUAAUGGCCCACCAAGGCGACGAUCGGUAGCCGGACUGAGAGGUUGAACGGCCACAUUGGGACUGAGACACGGCCCAGACUCCUACGGGAGGCAGCAGUGGGGAAUAUUGCACAAUGGGGGAAACCCUGAUGCAGCGACGCCGCGUGGAGGAAGAAGGUCUUCGGAUUGUAAACUCCUGUUGUUGAGGAAGAUAAUGACGGUACUCAACAAGGAAGUGACGGCUAACUACGUGCCAGCAGCCGCGGUAAAACGUAGGUCACAAGCGUUGUCCGGAAUUACUGGGUGUAAAGGGAGCGCAGGCGGGAAGACAAGUUGGAAGUGAAAUCCAUGGGCUCAACCCAUGAACUGCUUUCAAAACUGUUUUUCUUGAGUAGUGCAGAGGUAGGCGGAAUUCCCGGUGUAGCGGUGGAAUGCGUAGAUAUCGGGAGGAACACCAGUGGCGAAGGCGGCCUACUGGGCACCAACUGGCGCUGAGGCUCGAAAGUGUGGGUAGCAAACAGGAUUAGAUACCCUGGUAGUCCACACUGUAAACGAUGAUUACUAGGUGUUGGAGGAUUGACCCCUUCAGUGCCGCAGUUAACACAAUAAGUAAUCCACCUGGGGAGUACGACCGCAAGGUUGAAACUCAAAGGAAUUGACGGGGGCCCGCACAAGCAGUGGAGUAUGUGGUUUAAUUCGACGCAACGCGAAGAACCUUACCAAGUCUUGACAUCCCUUGACGAUGCUGGAAACAGUAUUUCUCUUCGGAGCAAGGAGACAGGUGGUGCAUGGUUGUCGUCAGCUCGUGUCGUGAGAUGUUGGGUUAAGUCCCGCAACGAGCGCAACCCUUAUGGUCAGUUACUACGCAAGAGGACUCUGGCCAGACUGCCGUUGACAAAACGGAGGAAGGUGGGGAUGACGUCAAAUCAUCAUGCCCUUUAUGACUUGGGCUACACACGUACUACAAUGGCGUUAAACAAAGAGAAGCAAGACCGCGAGGUGGAGCAAAACUCAGAAACAACGUCCCAGUUCGGACUGCAGGCUGCAACUCGCCUGCACGAAGUCGGAAUUGCUAGUAAUCGCAGAUCAGCAUGUUGCGGUGAAUACGUUCCCGGGCCUU